CUGAGUACGGCGGAACACGUGAAAUUCCGUCGGAAUCCGGGAGGACCAUCUCCCAAGGCUAAAUACUCCCUAGUGACCGAUAGUGAACCAGUACCGUGAGGGAAAGGUGAAAAGCACCCCGGAAGGGGAGUGAAACAGUUCCUGAAACCGUGUGCCUACAAGUAGUUAGAGCCCGUUAAUGGGUGAUAGCGUGCCUUUUGUAGAAUGAACCGGCGAGUUACGAUUUGUUGCAAGGUUAAGCGGAAAAAGCGGAGCCGUAGCGAAAGCGAGUCUGAAUAGGGCGCAUAAGUAACAGGUCGUAGACCCGAAACCAGGUGAUCUACCCAUGUCCAGGAUGAAGGUAAGGUAAUACUUACUGGAGGUCCGAACCCACGCACGUUGAAAAGUGCGGGGAUGAGGUGUGGGUAGCGGAGAAAUUCCAAUCGAACUUGGAGAUAGCUGGUUCUCUCCGAAAUAGCUUUAGGGCUAGCCUCGAGGUAAAGAGUCAUGGAGGUAGAGCACUGUUUGGACUAGGGGCCCUUCUCGGGUUACCGAAUUCAGAUAAACUCCGAAUGCCAUGUACUUAUACUCGGGAGUCAGACUGCGAGUGAUAAGAUCCGUAGUCGAAAGGGAAACAGCCCAGACCACCAGUUAAGGUCCCCAAAUAUAUGUUAAGUGGAAAAGGAUGUGGGGUUGCUUAGACAACCAGGAUGUUGGCUUAGAAGCAGCCACCAUUGAAAGAGUGCGUAAUAGCUCACUGGUCGAGUGACCCCGCGCCGAAAAUGUACCGGGGCUAAACAUAUUACCGAAACUGUGGAUGAACCUCUUUAGAGGUUCGUGGUAGGAGAGCGUUCUAAGGGCGGUGAAGUCAGACCGGAAGGACUGGUGGAGCGCUUAGAAGUGAGAAUGCCGGUAUGAGUAGCGAAAGAAGGGUGAGAAUCCCUUCCACCGAAUAUCUAAGGUUUCCUGAGGAAGGCUCGUCCGCU
rnacentral:rRNA from 1 species